GACGUUCUAUUUGUGCUGCGGUCAGUUAGGCUGUUUUGUUUGAUGCAGUGCUGCUAACAUCAGAAGCUGGUAUUUUUGGCCAGUAAGAGCCUUUGAAGCCACCGAGCCGCCGUUAUCAUACUCAUCCUUUCGGGGCUUUGAUUAAUGGAAGUGAAUCAGGGAAAAACUAUAUCCCGACAUUAAAAUAGCCAACAACGUGUCAACAAUGCCACGAUGUGCGGCAUAUGGAUGCAGCCAGCACCAAUUCAAGGUGCUGUUGACAAGUCUGAGUUGGAACCAGAUGAUCUUCCAGGCCUCAGUGAGGCAAGAGAACCAACAUUCAAUGUGAUUGUCAAAGAGGAGGAAGAAAAGGAGGAAGAGGAGGAGGAGGAGGAUGAC